rnacentral:rRNA from 1 species
UCAGGCGUCGAGCGGCGGACGGGUGAGUAAUACUCAGGAAUCUACCUAGUAGUGGGGGAUAGCACGGGGAAACUCGUAUUAAUACCGCAUACGACCUACGGGAGAAAGGGGGCAGUUUACUGCUCUCGCUAUUAGAUGAGCCUAAGUCGGAUUAGCUAGAUGGUGGGGUAAAGGCCUACCAUGGCGACGAUCUGUAGCUGGUCUGAGAGGAUGAUCAGCCACACCGGGACUGAGACACGGCCCGGACUCCUACGGGAGGCAGCAGUGGGGAAUAUUGGACAAUGGGGGAAACCCUGAUCCAGCCAUGCCGCGUGUGUGAAGAAGGCCUUUUGGUUGUAAAGCACUUUAAGCAGUGAAGAAGACUCUUCGGUUAAUACCCGGAGACGAUGACAUUAGCUGCAGAAUAAGGACCGGCUAACUCUGUGCCAGCAGCCGCGGUAAUACAGAGGGUGCAAGCGUUAAUCGGAAUUACUGGGCGUAAAGGGAGCGUAGGUGGCUCGAUAAGUCAGAUGUGAAAUCCCCGGGCUCAACCUGGGA